rnacentral:rRNA from 1 species
GACGAACGCUGGCGGCGUGCUUAACACAUGCAAGUCGAACGCGCCUGUCCUCUGGGUUUCUGGGGGGUGGGUGAGUGGCGAACGGGUGAGUAACACGUGAGUAACCUGCCCCCUUCUUCGGGAUAACGGUCUGAAAGGGCUGCUAAUACCGGGUAUUCACUGGUCUCCGCAUGGGGUCUGGUGGAAAGGUUUUUUCUGGUGGGGGAUGGGCUCGCGGCCUAUCAGCUUGUUGGUGGGGUGAUGGCCCACCAAGGCUUUGACGGGUAGCCGGCCUGAGAGGGUGACCGGUCACAUUGGGACUGAGAUACGGCCCAGACUCCUACGGGAGGCAGCAGUGGGGAAUAUUGCACAAUGGGCGCAAGCCUGAUGCAGCGACGCCGCGUGAGGGAUGGAGGCCUUCGGGUUGUGAACCUCUUUCGCCCGUGGUCAGGCCGCGACGUGGGUCGUGGUGAGGGUAGUGGGUAAAGAAGCGCCGGCUAACUACGUG